UACGUAUGGGGCAAGCGUUAUCCGGAAUUAUUGGGCGUAAAGAGUGCGUAGGUGGUUACCUAAGCGCAAGGUUUAAUCUUGAGGCUCAACCUCAUUCUGCCUUGCGAACUGGGCUACUUGAGUGCAGGAGGGGAAAGCGGAAUUCCCAGUGUAGCGGUGAAAUGCGUAGAUAUUGGGAAGAACACCGGUGGCGUAGGCGGCUUGCUGGACAGUAACUGACGCUGAGGCGCGAAAGCCAGGGGAGCAAACGGGAUUAGAUACCCUGGUAGUCCCU
rnacentral:rRNA from 1 species